AUUCCAGCUCCAAUAGCGUAUACUAAAGUUGUUGCAGUUAAAAAGCUCGUAGUUGAAUUUCUGGUCUCGGGCUUCGGUCUGCCUCAAACGAGGUACGCACCAGUUGUCUGAAUCCAUCCUCGGGGAGAACAUAUGUGUCAUUAAUUUGAUGUGUAUGGGAUCCUCGUCAUUUACUGUGAGCAAAAUAGAGUGUUCAAAGCAGGCUUAUGCCGUUGAAUACAUUAGCAUGGAAUAAUAAGAUAAGACCUUGGUCUAUUUUGUUGGUUUGUACUCCAAGGUAAUGAUUAAUAGGGAUAGUUGGGGGUAUUCGUAUUCAAUUGUCAGAGGUGAAAUUCUUGGAUUUAUGGAAGACGAACUACUGCGAAAGCAUUUACCAAGGAUGUUUUCAUUG
rnacentral:rRNA from 1 species